GGGGAGAGUCUCCUGAUUUUUUUUAGGCAUAAAGAUCUGAUAAGGUCUAUAUUAGGGUUAGAGGAAUAUGGGGGUUUUAAUGAGGGGAUUUGGGUUAAGGGAACUGGGCCGAAGGGAAUUGGGUUAUGGGAAUUGGGUUAUGCGAAUUGGGCUGAGGUUUAAAAUUAAUUUGGUCAUUUUAGGAAUUAGCCCAAUUUUAAAAGAAAUCAGACCAAAAUCUAAAAAUUAAAAGGUAAAAAAUGUAAAAUGAGCCAUUUUUGUGAUUUUCAUUUUUAAUAAAGCAAUUAAUUAACUAAUUAAUUCUAAAAUAUAAAAACAAAAAUCUAAAUGUAAUGUAUGGUAUUUUUGAUAUUUUUAUGCUUUUUUUAACAAAAAUUAAACGUGCACAAAAAUGUAAAUAAUUAAUAAAAUCCUACAAAAAAUCCUAUAAAAUGGCAAAUAAUCGGAAAAAUGUAUUUUAUUUUAUUUUAUAGAAGUAUUUCAUAUAGGGCAAAAAUCACGUGCUCACAGCUGCCCCUCUCUGCUCGAAAACACGAAGGAUUUUCGGGCCAAGAUAAAGUGAGGGGAUACAAGCGAUUUUUGCCCAUUUGAAUACUCCGUGGGAAGCAUUUUUGAAAGAUCUGACCGAACCUUGCUUCCGAGGUUGCCUACAUAUCCUUGACUAUAAAGGAAUCAGGUUAGUGUAGUUCGGGAAGUUUUGAUAGCUGGGACUACCGAAAAACUAUGAUUUCACUGUUGUUACUCCUGUUUCCGCUUGCUGAGCUCCUUAUUACACCAAAAUUUAAAAUAAAAAGAUAAACUAGCUAAACCUAUCAACUAUGAGUUACAAGAUUCCUAUAUAUAACCUUCUAAGGCUUGAUUUUGAGUCCUGGUUGGUUCUUCCUGCAGACUCUGAUCUGAAUCUUGAUGCUCGUAAGCUGCAACCGCUGGUUCAUUCUUCUUUAGCUUUUUGGAUCAAGGGGGGACAUGCAAAGCUUGCGACUUCAAUCAUAUCUUGAGCAGUCCGCAUCUUUCCUCCGCUUCUACACUUAGAGUUCAACUUCUUUUCUUUUAUUUGGGUUGAGACUUCUUCUUUUGGUCAUCUCAAACCGUGUGCCUCACGGUGAAAACUUGUUCAGGCAACAAAGCAAACAAACGAACAAAGUUUUUCUGCCCCAGUUUUCACUAGGAAAAUUUCGUGAAUUAUUGUAACAAAAUCUAAACUAUUUCUUUAUUGAAGGCAAUUAAAAUCGGGAUUAUGUAUCCCUGAGAGAAAGAGAUUAGGGAGUGGAGACCCUAUAUCUAAAAUGAAAUUAAAUGAGGAUCGGAGGUCCCAAGUUGGGAAGAUUACCGGGUUAUGCUGGAAAAAUGACCACGUUAUGUCGGGAAGGUCCUCAGGUUAUGCCGGGGAAGGUCAUCAGGUUAUGCCGGAAAAGAAAAGGGUCCUCGAGUUAUGCCGGGGAGGUCCACGGGUUAUGCCGGAGUAGGUCAUUGGGUUAUGCUGGAAAAGAAAAAGGUUCUCGGAUUACGCCGGGGAGGUCCACGGGUUAUGCCGGGAAAGUCAUCGGGUUAUGCCGGAAAGAAAAAAUGUCCUCGGGUUAUGCCGGGGAGGUCCACGGGUUAUGCCAGGAGGUCCUUGGGCUAUGCCGGGAAAGAAAAAAGGUCCUUGGGUUAUGCCGGGGAGGUCCACAGGUUAUGCCGGGAAAGGUCCUCGGGUUAUAAAGGUCCUCGGGUUAUGCCAGGAAAGUUAUCACGUU
rnacentral:lncRNA from 1 species